AGCGAACGCUGGCGGCGUGCCUAACACAUGCAAGUCGAACGUGAAAGGGAGCAAUCCCAAGUAAAGUGGCGUACGGGUGAGUAACACGUAGGUAAUCUACCCCAGAAUCUGGAAUAACCGGCCGAAAGGCUGGCUAAUACUGGAUAGAGCGACGGAAUCCGUAAUUGGGUUUUUCGGGAAAGGGAGCCUGUAAAAAGGCCUUCGUUCUGGGAUGAGCCUGCGUCCCAUCAGCUAGUUGGUGAGGUAAAAGCUUACCAAGGCAAUGACGGGUAGCUGGUCUGAGAGGACGAGCAGCCAGACUGGAACUGAAACACGGUCCAGACUCCUACGGGAGGCAGCAGGGGGGAAUCUUGCGCAAUGGGCGAAAGUCUGACGCAGCAGCGCCGCGUGAGGGAAGAAGGCCUUCGGGUUGGAGAGCUCUGUCGAGUGGGACGAAAAUGCUUGGAGUUCACAGCACCAGGAACUGACGGUACCACUAAAGGAAGCACCGGCUAACUCCGUG
rnacentral:rRNA from 1 species